rnacentral:tRNA from 1 species
GCCGUGGUGGUGGAACCGGUAGACACGAGGGACUUAAAAUCCCUUGACCCUAAAAGGUCGUGCGGGUUCGAUUCCCGCCCGCGGUA